GUAGGUGGCAAGCGUUGUCCGGAAUUAUUGGGCGUAAAGCGCGCGCAGGCGGUUCUUUAAGUCUGAUGUGAAAGCCCACGGCUCAACCGUGGAGGGUCAUUGGAAACUGGGGAACUUGAGUACAGAAGAGGAAAGCGGAAUUCCACGUGUAGCGGUGAAAUGCGUAGAGAUGUGGAGGAACACCAGUGGCGAAGGCGGCUUUCUGGUCUGUAACUGACGCUGAGGCGCGAAAGCGUGGGGAGCAAACAGGGAUUAGAUACCCUGGUAGUCCACGCCGUAAACGAUGAGUGCUAAGUGUUAGGGGGUUUCCCGCCCCUUAGUGCUGCAGCUAACGCAUUAAGCACUCCGCCUGGGGAGUACGGCCGCAAGGCUG
rnacentral:rRNA from 1 species